rnacentral:rRNA from 1 species
AGUCGAACGGAGUUUACUAACUAAAACCUUCGGGUUGAAGAUAGUAACACUUAGUGGCGGACGGGUGAGUAACGCGUAAGCAACCUGCCCUGUACAGAGGGAUAACAUUGGGAAACCGAUGCUAAUACCUCAUAAAGCUAAUUUAAGACAUCUUAAAAUAAUUAAAAAUUUAUCGGUACAGGAUGGGCUUGCGUCUGAUUAGCUAGUUGGUGAGGUAAGAGCUCACCAAGGCGAUGAUCAGUAGCCGACCUGAGAGGGUGAUCGGCCACACUGGAACUGAGACACGGUCCAGACUCCUACGGGAGGCAGCAGUGGGGAAUAUUGCACAAUGGGGGAAACCCUGAUGCAGCAACGCCGCGUGAGCGAAGAAGGCCUUCGGGUCGUAAAGCUCUGUCCUAAGGGAAGAUAUAGACGGUACCUUAGGAGGAAGCCCCGGCUAACUACGUGCCAGCAGCCGCGGUAACACGUAGGGGGCAAGCGUUAUCCGGAAUCACUGGGCGUAAAGGGUGCGUAGGCGGCUGGAUGGGUCAGAGGUGAAAGACUAUUGCUCAACGAUAGCAAGCCUUUGAAACUAUUCAGCUUGAGUACAGGAGAGGAGAGUGGAAUUUCUAGUGUAGCGGUGAAAUGCGUAGAUAUUAGAAGGAACACCAGUGGCGAAGGCGACUCUCUGGACUGCAACUGACGCUGAGGCACGAAAGCGUGGGUAGCGAACAGGAUUAGAUACCCUGGUAGUCCACGCCGUAAACGAUGAGUGCUAGGUAUCGGGGGUCAAACCUCGGUGCCGGA